CAGAGCCGCGGUAAAACGAAGGGUGCAAGCGUUACUCGGAAUUACUGGGCGUAAAGCGUGUGUAGGUGGUUGUUUAAGUCUGUCGUGAAAGCCCUGGGCUCAACCUGGGAAUUGCGAUGGAUACUGGGCGACUGGAGUGCGGUAGAGGAUAGUGGAAUUUCCGGUGUAGCAGUGAAAUGCGUAGAGAUCGGAAGGAACAUCUGUGGCGAAGGCGACUAUCUGGGCCAACACUGACACUGAGACACUAAAGCGUGGGGAGCAAACAGGAUUAGAUACCCCUGUAGUCCCUGUCUCUUAUACA
rnacentral:rRNA from 1 species